rnacentral:rRNA from 1 species
UGGGGAAUUUUGGACAAUGGGCGCAAGCCUGAUCCAGCAAUGCCGCGUGAGUGAAGAAGGCCUUCGGGUUGUAAAGCUCUUUCAGUUGAGAAGAAAAAAUUCUGGCUAAUAUCUGGAAUUCAUGACGGUAUCAACAGAAGAAGCACCGGCUAACUACGUGCCAGCAGCCGCGGUAAUACGUAGGGUGCGAGCGUUAAUCGGAAUUACUGGGCGUAAAGGGUGCGCAGGUGGUUUUGUAAGUCAGAUGUGAAAUCCCCGGGCUUAACCUGGGAAUUGCGUUUGAAACUACAAGACUAGAGUGUGGCAGAGGGGGGUGGAAUUCCAUGUGUAGCAGUGAAAUGCGUAGAGAUAUGGAAGAACAUCGAUGGCGAAGGCAGCCCCCCUGGGUUAACACUGACACUCAGGCACGAAAGCGUGGGGAGCAAACAGGAUUAGAUACCCUGGUAGUCCACGCCCUAAACUAUGUCAACUAGUUGUUGGGUCUUAUUAGACUUGGUAACGAAGCUAACGCGUGAAGUUGACCGCCUGGGGAGUACGGUCGCAAGAUUA